rnacentral:rRNA from 1 species
AGAGCGAACGCUGGCGGCAGGCUUAACACAUGCAAGUCGAGCGGGCGUAGCAAUACGUCAGCGGCAGACGGGUGAGUAACGCGUGGGAACAUACCUUUUGGUUCGGAACAACACAGGGAAACUUGUGCUAAUACCGGAUAAGCCCUUACGGGGAAAGAUUUAUCGCCGAAAGAUUGGCCCGCGUCUGAUUAGCUAGUUGGUGAGGUAACGGCUCACCAAGGCGACGAUCAGUAGCUGGUCUGAGAGGAUGAUCAGCCACAUUGGGACUGAGACACGGCCCAAACUCCUACGGGAGGCAGCAGUGGGGAAUAUUGGACAAUGGGCGCAAGCCUGAUCCAGCCAUGCCGCGUGAGUGAUGAAGGCCCUAGGGUUGUAAAGCUCUUUUGUGCGGGAAGAUAAUGACGGUACCGCGAAGAAUAAGCCCCGGCUAACUUCGCGCCAGCACGCCGC